GCCCGGAUGGCGAAACUGGUAGACGCAUCGGACUUAAAAUCCGCCGGGGGCGACCCCAUGCCGGUUCGAUUCCGGCUCCGGGCACCA
rnacentral:tRNA from 37 species